AGGAGAGUUUGAUCCUGGCUCAGGAUGAACGCUGGCGGCGUGCCUAACACAUGCAAGUCGAACGGAGAUUUAACGCUGAUGAAGCUUCGGCGGAUUCUUGUUAAAUCUUAGUGGCGGACGGGUGAGUAACGCGUGGGCAACCUGCCUCAUACUGGGGGAUAACAGCUGGAAACGACUGUUAAUACCGCAUAAGCGCACGGUAUCGCAUGAUACAGUGUGAAAAACUCCGGUGGUAUGAGAUGGGCCCGCGUCAGAUUAGCCAGUUGGCAGGGUAACGGCCUACCAAAGCGACGAUCUGUAGCCGGCCUGAGAGGGCGGACGGCCACAUUGGGACUGAGACACGGCCCAAACUCCUACGGGAGGCAGCAGUGGGGGAUAUUGCACAAUGGAGGAAACUCUGAUGCAGCGACGCCGCGUGAGUGAAGAAGUAUUUCGGUAUGUAAAGCUCUAUCAGCAGGGAAGAAAGACUCGUAAGAGAGAUGACGGUACCUGACUAAGAAGCCCCGGCUAACUACGUGCCAGCAGCCGCGGUAAUACGUAGGGGGCAAGCGUUAUCCGGAUUUACUGGGUGUAAAGGGAGCGCAAACGGCUUAGCAAGUCUGAAGUGAAACCCCACGGCUCAACCGUGGGCUUGCUUUGGAAACUGUUAGGCUAGAGUACUGGAGAGGUAAGCGGAAUUCCUAGUGUAGCGGUGAAAUGCGUAGAUAUUAGGAGGAACAUCGGUGGCGAAGGCGGCUUACUGGACAGCAACUGACGUUGAGGCUCGAAGGCGUGGGGAGCAAACAGGAUUAGAUACCCUGGUAGUCCCCU
rnacentral:rRNA from 1 species